rnacentral:rRNA from 1 species
UACGGAAGGCAGCAGUGGGGAAUAUUGCACAAUGGGCGCAAGCCUGAUGCAGCCAUGCCGCGUGUAUGAAGAAGGCCUUCGGGUUGUAAAGUACUUUCAGCGGGGAGGAAGGCGGUGGAGUUAAUAGCUUCACCGAUUGACGUUACCCGCAGAAGAAGCACCGGCUAACUCCGUGCCAGCAGCCGCGGUAAUACGGAGGGUGCAAGCGUUAAUCGGAAUUACUGGGCGUAAAGCGCACGCAGGCGGUCUGUCAAGUCGGAUGUGAAAUCCCCGGGCUUAACCUGGGAACUGCAUUCGAACUGGCAGGCUAGAGUCUUGUAGAGGGGGUAGAAGUUCCAGGUGUAGCGGUGAAAUGCGUAGAGAUCUGGAGGAAUACCGGUGCGAAGGCGGCCCCUGGGACAAGACUGACGCUCAGGUGCGAAAGCGUGGGGAGCAAACAGGAUUAGAUAC